GCUAUUUUGGCAGAUUAGUGCAGUAAAUUUAGAAUUUAUUUAUGUAAUAAAAUUUUACAAAUAGUA
rnacentral:tRNA from 1 species